rnacentral:rRNA from 1 species
GGCCAGACUCCUACGGGAGGCAGCAGUGGGGAAUAUUGCACAAUGGGGGAAACCCUGAUGCAGCGACGCCGCGUGAGUGAAGAAGUAUUUCGGUAUGUAAAGCUCUCUCAGCAGGGAAGAUAAUGACGGUACCUGACUAAGAAGCCCCGGCUAACUACGUGCCAGCAGCCGCGGUAAUACGUAGGGGGCAAGCGUUAUCCGGAUUUACUGGGUGUAAAGGGAGCGUAGGUGGCAGGGCAAGUCAGAUGUGAAAACCCGGGGCUCAACCCCGGGACUGCAUUGGGAACUGCCCCGCUCGAGUGCCGGAGGGGCAGGCGGAAUUCCUAGUGUAGCGGUGAAAUGCGUAGAUAUUAGGAGGAACACCAGUGGCGAAGGCGGCCUGCUGGACGGUGUACUGACGCUGAGGCUCGAAAGCGUGGGGAGCAAACAGGAUUAGAUACCCUAGUA